GUUGUAAGCUCAGUGGUAGAAUACUUGCCUAGCAUGUAUGAGGCCCUGGGUUUGAUCCCCAGUACCACA
rnacentral:tRNA from 1 species